AACCAAAAAAGAUGGAAAAUAUGAAAAAGAGGUUAUGAGACAUGGAGGUUGUGAAUAUGCUUCAACAUGUUUAAUUGGUCUUUAAGAAGAGUAGAGAGAGGAGAAACAGUGGCAAAAUGUGAAGAAGUAAUAGUUAAUAAUUUUCCAGAUGUCAUUAAAUAUACUUGUUCACAAAUUCAAAAAGCUCAGUGAACUCCGAGCAGGAAAAAUAAUAAGAAAUCUACACUGUGAUACAUCGUAGUGCACAUCAGUACAUCAAAUACCUGAAGGAAGAGCUGCAUCACAGUCAGAGAUAAAAGGGAAGGUUUCUUUCAAAUGAGUCAAAGAGAAACAAUCUUCCAGAAAAUAUGCAUAAAAGAAAGGACCUUACAAGGCAACUUGCAUGGAUACUCUGAAGCAACUUUGAGGUCUCCUUGAUGAGGAAAGUUGGCUCAACCUGCUGUAGAGUAGGCCCACAGCCAAGCCAUUGAGAGACAAGUCCAUGGGAGACAAAUUAGCUCAUGCAACUGAGAUGUCCUGGAGAUUUUCCACACCACCACUUGGCCAGUGCCUGGACAAGGCAAUCUUCCCCAGUCCUCAACACAGACACCAAUGGAUCUGAAUUCAGUCAUUGUCGACUGGUGUUCUGCCUGUCCUAGAUGUCAUGUAAGUGGAUCCAAAUAACUGUGUGCUCUUGUGUCUGACUCCUUUUGUUCAGCGUGGUGCUUUUGAGAUUUAUCUAUGUCAUUUGGGGUAUCAGUAAUUCAUAUCUUUUGUUUCCAACUAGGGUUGUGUGAUUAUACCACAAUGUCUUUUGCAAAUUAGUUGUUUCAUUUUAUAUAUUUUAUAUGUAUCAGCAGUUUAUAAGUUAUAAAUAACUUCUUUAUAAAUUACCCAGUUUCAGGUAGUUCUUUGGUGGUGUUUUCCUGUCGCUCUAUGUUCUAUCACCUGAUAUUGUUGGUCUUAUUUUUAGCCAUUUUAGUACUAGAUGCUCCUCAACUCACGAUGGGUUUAUGCCCCAGUAAACCCAUUGUUAAGUUGAAAAAAUCAUAAGUUGAAAAUGCAUUUUUAAUACACCUUAACUAUCAAACAUCAUAGUUUAGCCUAGCCUACCUUAAACAGGCUCACAACACUUACAUUAUUCUAUGGUUGAGCAAAAUCAUCUGGCAACACAGCAAACUGUAGAGUAUCUCUUGUUUACCCUGGUGAUCUUGUGGCUGACUGGAAGCCUUAGCUCCCUGCCGCUGCCCAACACCGCAAGAGGGUAUUCUACUGCUUUCUACUGAAUGUGUAUUGCUUUUGCAUCAUUUUAAAGUAAAAAAAAAGUUACAUGUCAAGUCAUCAAAAGUUGUUUUGAUGGGAUUUUCUGUUUGCGUAGUAAUAUUUCACUUUAGUUGUAAUUUCUGUAUACCUGACAGCUAAUUGUGAAUGUUUACAUUUAUUUACUUGACAUUUCAUACCUUCUUUUAUGAAAUUGUUGUUCACAUUUUUGUCCAGUUUCUAAACCACAGUUUACUUUAUCAUUAUUAAUACGUUUUUCUUUUAUAAAAUUUGAAUAUAUAAGUCCCAUAUAAAGUCAACUUAUUUUUUUUUUCUUGCAUGGCUAGUGCUAUACAAGAUGAUAAAGAUAUACACCUACAUUUUCUUUCUUUAAGUUUAUAUUUCAGCUCAUAUGUUAAAUCUAUAAUCCAUUUUGAGUUAAUUUUGUGGAUGAGGUGAGGUAAGAAUAGAUACACAACUUUUAGGUUGAUAUUCAGUUGUCCUAGCACUAGUUUAUUGAAGAUAAUUCUUUUCCCAUUAAAUGUCCUUGAACUUUUUCAAAAAAGCAAUUGACUAUAUGUGUUUGCGUGUUGAUACGGUUUGAGUCUGUGUCCCCACCCAAAGCAUGUCAAAUUGAAAUCCCCAGUGUUGGAGGUGGGGCCUGGUGGGGAGUGAUUGGUUCGUGGGGACAAAUUUUCCCUUUGGUAUUGUUUUUAUGACAGUGGGUGACUUAUGAAAUCUGGUUGUUUAAAAGUGCGUAACGCCUCCCCACUCUCUCUUCCUCCUGCUCUGGCCAUGUAAGACAUGACUGCUUGCCCUUCGCCUUCCAUCAUGAUUGAAAGUUUCCUGAGGUCUCCCCAAACAUGCUUCCCGUACAGCUUGUAGAACUGUGAACAAAUGAAAUCUCCUUUCUUUAUAAAUUACCCAGUUUCAGGUAGUUCUUUAUAGUAGUGAGGGAAUGGACUAAUACAGUUAUAUCCUGUUCCAUCUUUUUUCUAAUGCUUUGCUGCAUUGUCUUAUAACACAGCUUUAUAAUCUUGAAAUCAUAUCCUGUAAGCCCUCAAAAUCUGCUAUUGAAGGUCCUUUGUAUUUCCAUAUAAAUUUGACAAUUAUCUGGUUGAUUUUCUCAAAAAUUAUUUUGGCUUCCAAAAUUUGAAAGCAGCCUAAGUGUUAUCAGGAGUUGAAUGGAUAAAUAAAAUGCAGUACAAAUGCACAAUGGAGUACUAUUCGGCAGUAGAAAGAAUGAAAUCCUGUCAUUUGC